UUUGAGUAUGAAUAGGCCCCUCAGAAAACAGCAUUAGAUUCUGUGAAGGAAAACUAGAAAUUAUCUUUAUUGGCUUCUGUUUAAGCAGUGGCUCUGAGCUUUGAGCUUCCCUUGGGAAGGGGGGCCAGCCCAGAGUUGUUUUGCUGGUGCCUUCCAGAAGAAGCUAUGUAAACACAGGGCUUUCACAGAAGGCAUCCAAGCCCUCAUGCUGAGCAGUCCUAGGCGUUGGCAACACUUGCUGCUCCUUGCACCUGGUGUGACGUCUUAGAAACAGGCCCUAAACAAGCUCAGGUCAAAUGAUGUGCUAUUUUUGGAGGCUCUUCAUCUCAGAAGUCAAAUAAUACUCAAGGACCUGGAGACUAACUUUGGGAAAGUGUUACUACCAAAGGUAACUGUUUGUGUGCUUUGGAAUGUUUCAGAGCUAAAGAGAGCCUUGAUAAAGCCAAUGCUAAGCACCUCUGGAAGCGCCUUAAAAAGCAAUCAUCAGUCACAGGCAGCACUGUCAGAGGAGGUCUGGCUGCAGCUCCAGUUCUGCGUUCAAGUGCACUGGGACAUCUUGGCAACCGUUCAGGACUGGACAGUAGUGUGAGUGCAGGAGACAGCUUGCAAAGGCAACGUAAGAAGUGCUUGUCAUCAAGAAGGAGGCUUGUAGCCUCUGUGGCCAAGGUACAGCUGGAACAGGAGGAAAAACUCUCUAAGAAAAUGGAAAAAGCCACUGAUGAACUUGAAACUGGAUUUGCUCGACUUUCAAAGAAGUUUCAUUUGCCCCAGGAUCGCCUUUCCAGAGCAAAAAAAUAUUAGUUCAGCCUCACAGUCUUUUCCUGACCCAGUCUCUCUCUUCUGCCCGAGUCUUCGGUUCUUCCCUCCCCACCACGUGCAAUGACUUCGCCGGUGUCACCGGUCUCCAUCUCCUUUGUAACCCAAGAGGUCGGCAAUUCCAGGCUCCAGCCGUGUCUCUCGGAGUCUGUUCACAGGACUAGCGUCACCCAUCUUCGCGCCCUUGGAUAUCCCGAAGGUUGGCACUUCACGGCCUCUUGCCUCGGGCUCCCACCCAACGCUUACCCUGCAGCAGUCGGCAGCUCGCGAGCCCAGCUGCCUGGGCCAGACGUGUUCCUCAGCAUCUGAUCAGGCACGUAACUAGAUGGCAUCUGAACUCCCCUCCAUGCCCUUUCCUCCUUGCUGUCUUUUCUUGCCACCCAUUCACCCAAGGCUGACAGCGGCACCCCCGCAGCACUAAAUGCCCGAGACACCAAUUCCACCCGAGCGCUAUUCCGUCCCCAGCUCCCCCGCGCCUGCGCGGCCCGGCCCGGCGCUGCCCUCCUGCGCGUGCGCGGGGCCGCGGUCGGGGCUGCCGGGGGCGGCGGCCGCGGGCUGUGCCCGGAGCUGUUGCUGUGCCUGAGGUGCGCUGCGCAGGAGCCGCAUGGAGUCGGGAUCGCUGCCGGGACCUCCCCUCCCCUGCCCUCCCCUGCCUGUCCCUGCUUGAGGCACGAUACCG